rnacentral:rRNA from 1 species
AUCGAACGCUGGCGGCAGGCCUAACACAUGCAAGUCGAGCGAGCGGCGGACGGGUGAGUAAUGUAUGGGGACUGCCCGAUAGAGGGGGAUAACUACUGGAAACGGUGGCUAAUACCGCUUACUGCCGUAUAACCCAUAGGGGAUUAGCUAGUCGCGGGGGUAAAGGCUCACCUAGGCGACGAUGCUUAGCUGGUCUGAGAGGAUGAUCAGCCACACUGGGACUGAGACACGGCCCAGACUCCUACGGAGGCAGCAGUGGGGAAUAUUGCACAAUGGGCGCAAGCCUGAUCCAGCCACGCCGCGUGUAGGAAGAGGGCCUUAGGGUUGUAAAGUACUUUCAGCAGGGAGGCGGUACCUGCCGAAAAAGCACCGGCUAACUCCGUGCCAGCAGCCGCGGUAAUUC